GAGAAGAAUGCGCACUUGUCCAAUAUCAAUGGCUGGGUUAAGAGAAAAGGAGAGUUUUGUUCAUCAAAAUCUUCACCAUACAUAUCAGAGGCAAUCAAAACGACCAGAGAGCAAUAACAGGUUUUGAGGCAUUUGGAACCUAUUAAGAGAGCAACUUGAGCAACCUUUGCAAUGUGCAGUGGUGAAGAGAGUGGGAGUAAUGUGUGAUGGAAAACAUUAAAGUUCAUCUCCUAAAGUGAAGAAAACAUUAAAAUAGGAAACUAGCAUAAUGAUUGGACAAAUCUGUACCAAUAUUUCAGAUGUGUAGAUGAUAUUUCAACUCACUUU